rnacentral:rRNA from 1 species
ACCUACGGGGGGCAGCAGUAGGGAAUUUUCGUCAAUGGGCGCAAGCCUGAACGAGCAAUGCCGCGUGAACGAGGAAGGUCUUCGGAUCGUAAAGUUCUGUUGAAGGGGAAAAAGAGCGGAGAGAGGAAAUGAACUCCGAUUGAUAUUACCCUUCGAGGAAGUCACGGCUAACUCCGUGCCAGCAGCCGCGGUAAUACGGAGGAUGCGAGCGUUAUCCGGAUUUAUUGGGUUUAAAGGGUGCGCAGGCGGCCUGUUAAGUCAGCGGUAAAAGCCCGGGGCUCAACCCCGGCGAGCCGUUGAAACUG